rnacentral:rRNA from 1 species
GACGAACGCUGACGGUGUGCUUUAGACAUGCAAGUCGAGCGAGAAAGCCCUUCGGGGGUGAGUAAAGCGGCGAACGGGUGAGUAACACGUGGGCAAUCUGCCCCUCGCAGGGGGACAACCGGGGGAAACUCCGGCUAAUACCCCGUAAGCUUGAUGGAUCGCAUGAUCCAUCAAGGAAAGGUAGCUUCGGCCAUCCGGCGAGGGGAUGAGCCCGCGGUACAUUAGCUAGUUGGUGGGGUAACGGCCACCAAGGCGGCGAUGUAUAGCUGGUCUGAGAGGAUGAUCAGCCACACUGGGACUGAGACACGG